GGUUAAGCGACUAAGCGUACACGGUGGAUGCCCUGGCAGUCAGAGGCGAUGAAGGACGUGCUAAUCUGCGAUAAGCGUCGGUAAGGUGAUAUGAACCGUUAUAACCGGCGAUUUCCGAAUGGGGAAACCCAGUGUGAUUCGUCACACUAUCAUUAACUGAAUCCAUAGGUUAAUGAGGCGAACCGGGGGAACUGAAACAUCUAAGUACCCCGAGGAAAAGAAAUCAACCGAGAUUCCCCCAGUAGCGGCGAGCGAACGGGGAGCAGCCCAGAGCCUGAAUCAGUGUGUGUGUUAGUGGAAGCGUCUGGAAAGGCGCGCGAUACAGGGUGACAGCCCCGUACACAAAAAUGCACAUAUUGUGAGCUCGAUGAGUAGGGCGGGACACGUGGUAUCCUGUCUGAAUAUGGGGGGACCAUCCUCCAAGGCUAAAUACUCCUGACUGACCGAUAGUGAACCAGUACCGUGAGGGAAAGGCGAAAAGAACCCCGGCGAGGGGAGUGAAAAAGAACCUGAAACCGUGUACGUACAAGCAGUGGGAGCACGCUUAGGCGUGUGACUGCGUACCUUUUGUAUAAUGGGUCAGCGACUUAUAUUCUGUAGCAAGGUUAACCGAAUAGGGGAGCCGAAGGGAAACCGAGUCUUAACUGGGCGUUAAGUUGCAGGGUAUAGACCCGAAACCCGGUGAUCUAGCCAUGGGCAGGUUGAAGGUUGGGUAACACUAACUGGAGGACCGAACCGACUAAUGUUGAAAAAUUAGCGGAUGACUUGUGGCUGGGGGUGAAAGGCCAAUCAAACCGGGAGAUAGCUGGUUCUCCCCGAAAGCUAUUUAGGUAGCGCCUCGUGAAUUCAUCUCCGGGGGUAGAGCACUGUUUCGGCAAGGGGGUCAUCCCGACUUACCAACCCGAUGCAAACUGCGAAUACCGGAGAAUGUUAUCACGGGAGACACACGGCGGGUGCUAACGUCCGUCGUGAAGAGGGAAACAACCCAGACCGCCAGCUAAGGUCCCAAAGUCAUGGUUAAGUGGGAAACGAUGUGGGAAGGCCCAGACAGCCAGGAUGUUGGCUUAGAAGCAGCCAUCAUUUAAAGAAAGCGUAAUAGCUCACUGGUCGAGUCGGCCUGCGCGGAAGAUGUAACGGGGCUAAACCAUGCACCGAAGCUGCGGCAGCGACGCUUAUGCGUUGUUGGGUAGGGGAGCGUUCUGUAAGCCUGUGAAGGUGUGCUGUGAGGCAUGCUGGAGGUAUCAGAAGUGCGAAUGCUGACAUAAGUAACGAUAAAGCGGGUGAAAAGCCCGCUCGCCGGAAGACCAAGGGUUCCUGUCCAACGUUAAUCGGGGCAGGGUGAGUCGACCCCUAAGGCGAGGCCGAAAGGCGUAGUCGAUGGGAAACAGGUUAAUAUUCCUGUACUUGGUGUUACUGCGAAGGGGGGACGGAGAAGGCUAUGUUGGUCGGGCGACGGUUGUCCCGGUUUAAGCGUGUAGGCUGGUUUUCCAGGCAAAUCCGGAAAAUCAAGGCUGAGGCGUGAUGACGAGGCACUACGGUGCUGAAGCAACAAAUGCCCUGCUUCCAGGAAAAGCCUCUAAGCAUCAGGUAACAUCAAAUCGUACCCCAAACCGACACAGGUGGUCAGGUAGAGAAUACCAAGGCGCUUGAGAGAACUCGGGUGAAGGAACUAGGCAAAAUGGUGCCGUAACUUCGGGAGAAGGCACGCUGAUAUGUAGGUGAAGUCCCUUGCGGAUGGAGCUGAAAUCAGUCGAAGAUACCAGCUGGCUGCAACUGUUUAUUAAAAACACAGCACUGUGCAAACACGAAAGUGGACGUAUACGGUGUGACGCCUGCCCGGUGCCGGAAGGUUAAUUGAUGGGGUCAGCGCAAGCGAAGCUCUUGAUCGAAGCCCCGGUAAACGGCGGCCGUAACUAUAACGGUCCUAAGGUAGCGAAAUUCCUUGUCGGGUAAGUUCCGACCUGCACGAAUGGCGUAAUGAUGGCCAGGCUGUCUCCACCCGAGACUCAGUGAAAUUGAACUCGCUGUGAAGAUGCAGUGUACCCGCGGCAAGACGGAAAGACCCCGUGAACCUUUACUAUAGCUUGACACUGAACAUUGAGCCUUGAUGUGUAGGAUAGGUGGGAGGCUUUGAAGUGUGGACGCCAGUCUGCAUGGAGCCGACCUUGAAAUACCACCCUUUAAUGUUUGAUGUUCUAACGUUGACCCCUAAUCGGGGUUGCGGACAGUGUCUGGUGGGUAGUUUGACUGGGGCGGUCUCCUCCUAAAGAGUAACGGAGGAGCACGAAGGUUGGCUAAUCCUGGUCGGACAUCAGGAGGUUAGUGCAAUGGCAUAAGCCAGCUUGACUGCGAGCGUGACGGCGCGAGCAGGUGCGAAAGCAGGUCAUAGUGAUCCGGUGGUUCUGAAUGGAAGGGCCAUCGCUCAACGGAUAAAAGGUACUCCGGGGAUAACAGGCUGAUACCGCCCAAGAGUUCAUAUCGACGGCGGUGUUUGGCACCUCGAUGUCGGCUCAUCACAUCCUGGGGCUGAAGUAGGUCCCAAGGGUAUGGCUGUUCGCCAUUUAAAGUGGUACGCGAGCUGGGUUUAGAACGUCGUGAGACAGUUCGGUCCCUAUCUGCCGUGGGCGCUGGAGAACUGAGGGGGGCUGCUCCUAGUACGAGAGGACCGGAGUGGACGCAUCACUGGUGUUCGGGUUGUCAUGCCAAUGGCACUGCCCGGUAGCUAAAUGCGGAAGAGAUAAGUGCUGAAAGCAUCUAAGCACGAAACUUGCCCCGAGAUGAGUUCUCCCUGACUCUUUAAGGGUCCUGAAGGAACGUUGAAGACGACGACGUUGAUAGGCCGGGUGUGUAAGCGCAGCGAUGCGUUGAGCUAACCGGUACUAAUGAACCGUGAGGCUUAACCUU
rnacentral:rRNA from 1 species